rnacentral:rRNA from 1 species
GACGAACGCUGGCGGCGUGCUUAACACAUGCAAGUCGAACGGAAAGGCCCUGCUCUUGUGGGGUGCUCGAGUGGCGAACGGGUGAGUAACACGUGAGUAACCUGCCCUUGACUUUGGGAUAACUUCAGGAAACUGGGGCUAAUAUCGGAUAGGAGCUCCUGCUGCAUGGUGGGGGUUGGAAAGUUUCGGCGGUUGGGGAUGGACUCGCGGCUUAUCAGCUAGUUGGUGGGGUAGUGGAUUACCAAGGCUUUGACGGGUAGCCGGCCUGAGAGGGUGACCGGCCACAUUGGGACUGAGAUACGGCCCAGACGCCUACGGGAGGCAGCAGGGGGGAAUAUUGCACAAUGAGCGGAAGCCUGAUGCAGCAACGCCGCGUUCGUAAUGAAGGCCUUCGGGUUGUAAACCGCUUUCGCCUUUGACGCAGCGUUAGUGACGGUAAUGAGUAAAGAAGCACCGGCUAACUACGUG